CCAUGUAGGUUAAAUAUACACCUGUGUUCAAAUUCUCUAGGGGGACCACUGUAACUCCUCCUGUGUUUUAGGAGUAAAAGAACAGCUUCCAAAGCUUACCUCAGUUACUCCGUCCUAAACCACUUCCCAGUGGGCUCUAACUUCAAUGCUACUCUCUGCUCUCUUCUCAGAACCAGGUAGUCUUUACUGACAUCAGGGUUAACAGCACAGGAGCAAUUAUGUACAGAGCAAAACAAUUUUAGCCCUUCAUAGCAUCUUUAGAACACUCACAACUAUAAUAGGUACCAGCUUGGUAAAGUAAAAAUAAUACAUGGAAUUAUUUUCUAUUUGAUCAUCAUGGCCAACUUUGUGAUUUUAUAAAUACCAUUAAUACAUCCCAGGAAAGUCAUGUUUCCAGCCAAACCAGAUGACUAUAAUAUUUAUACUUCCAAGAGUAAACUGUGAACAAAUAACUAUGGGAGUUCCACUGUGGCUCAGAGGGUUAAGAAGCCAACAUGGUGUCCGCUGGUGUCUGUAAGGAUGCAGGUUUGAACCCUGGUCUGGCUCAGUGGGUUAAGAUCUGGUGUUGCCAUGAGCUGAAGAGUAUGUUGCAAAUGAGGCUCCAAUCCAACCCUUAGCCCAGGAACUUCCAUAUGUCACAGGUGCGGCCCUAAAAAGAACAAGAAAAAAACUAUGGUACUUCUAAAAGUUUUUUGUUUUGGCCUGUUUCUCUCACGUCCCCAUGUACAAUUCCAGCUGUGUCAGAGAAGAAUGGGUUUGGAAAACUUUAAGUAGCAUGCUGCAUGUCCUUAAAAGAUAAAUAUUGUAAACACUUCAUCAUUUCACUUUGUAUCACGAAUUGGCAACUUUUUCUGAAAAGGGCCAGAGAGUAUUUUAGGCUUUGUGGGCCAUGUACAAUCUCGGACACAAAUUCUUCUGUUUUUGUUUGUCCUUUUUACAACCCUUUAAUGAUGUAAGACUGGCUGGACGGAUACAAAGAAAGAAGGCUGCAGGCUGAUUUGGCUUUUGAGCCAUAGUUUGCCCACUGCUUUUCAAGUAUACCAAAAAACCCAUAAUUACAUAGUAUGGUCACACUUUGACUAAAGAAAAACACUUUCAACUGUUUUUUGUGUUUUUCUGUAAUUUUUUUAAAGUAAACUAUUUCUUUUAGAACAGUUUUAGAUUUACAGAAAGCAGUUAGUGCAGGUUCCAUAUAUCCUACACUUUUCCACAAUACAUCAGUGAACCAAUCUUGAUACAUUGUUAUUAACUAAGAUGCAUAACUUUUUCAGAUUUCAUUAGCUUUUACCGAAUGUUCUUUUUCUGUCUCAGGAUUCCAUGAGGACAGCAUAUGGUGUUCACUCAUCCUGUCUCCUUAGGCUCCUCCUGGAUGUGACAGUUUCUCAGAUAUUCCUUGGUUUUGAAAUCAGUUUUAAGGAGUACUGGUCAGAUAUUUUGUGAAAUGCCCUCUAUGAAGAUUUGGUGAGUCUUUUUCUCAUGAUUAGACUGGGGUUAUGAUGUUUUGGGGGGGGAGAAAGACCACAAAGAAAAAUUGCCAUUGCCAUCACAUCGUAUCAAGGAUACAUCAAUGUGACUUAUCACUGUUAAGUCAUGAUCACCUGGCUGAGUCUGUGUUUAUCAGGUUUCCUUCAACUUUUUUUUUCCAAAAAACAAUUAACUGGAGUUCCCAUUGUGGCUCAGCGAAAACAAAUCUGACUAGGAUCCAUGAGGAUGCAGGUUCGAUCCCUAGCCUCGCUCAGUGGGUUAAGGAUCUGGUGUUGCCAUGUGCUGUGGUGUAGGUUGAACACGUGGCUCAGAUCUGGCAUUGCUGUGACUGUGGUGCAGGUUGGAGGCUACAGUUCCAAUUUGACCCCUAACCUGGGAACCUCCAUAUGCAGCAAGAGUGGCCAUAAAAAGGAAAAAAAAAAAGAGAUUUUAAUUCUUACCAUAUUACUAGUUUAAAGCUUUUAAACAUCAAAUCAUUUUGAAUAAGCUGUCUAUACACACACAUUACAUUCAUUGCCUACUUUAUGCACAUCUAUGCCUCUUAAAGAUAUAUCAUAUUUGAGAUGAAGACAAAAAUAAAUAUGCACUCUGUUAGAAUAUUCUACUUUUUUUUUUUUUUUUUUUUUUGCUUUUUAGGGCUGCACCCGAGGCAUAUAGAGUCUCCCAGGCUAGGGGUCCAAUUGGAGCUACAGCUGCUAGCCUACGCCACAACCACAGCAACGCCAGAUCAAGCCACGUCUUAGACCUGCACCACAG
rnacentral:lncRNA from 1 species